rnacentral:lncRNA from 1 species
GCUGUUUUGGCAACACUCAGUUUGAGUUCCUGGUCCCGGCUGUUUGGACGUGGCGGAUCGACUAAAAAACGCACCGAAAACAACGAUUUUUUCGAAACAAAAUGAGUUAAAUAUGUUGUGCCAUAAAUGGCAUAUGUUCCGACGGGUUUCAAAUGAAAAAGUGUUGAGUUUGAGAGAGUCCUGCGGGUCAAUGCGGUAUCCAUGUGUUUCUGUCGUGUUUGAAAUAGUUCAUAAAGGGGAAUACUUACUACAACAACAAACAAUCUAUAUAAGAUAAUUGGCUGCAUGGAACUACAUAAACAUCUUCUAGUUGAUGGUAAGUUACCAGUCCUCACGUUCAUUCGUAUGCCACUUACGGAAUUUUAAAUUUGAAAGCCUAAGGUUAACUUAUUGAGAAUAGCAGCUAACGUGGCAGCUUAUUUGACUUAUAUUAAUAUUAUUUCGAUUGCCAUGGUUUCCGGACUAUUUCCGUGUUCCCGCACGAACAAAUUUAAUGAAAUUCUUUUAGUAGUUUCAAAAUCAGUUUGCAGAAACCCUUUUUCCAAGGGACUUUAAUUCAACUGAAUAAUAUUCUAGUUCAUAAGGUAAACGACGAACGAGAAUAGCCCUUAGUAUUAAUAAAUAGUUGAGAUUCAAGGGAAGCUUUUAAGUGUUCUCACAGCCUUUUUAAAAUGCCAUAGCAGUGCAGAGAAGAACCAAAAACGUGCAGCAAAAAAGGGAAAAUGACUAAAAUAAAUCACAGACAAGGCAUGCGUGCGCAUCUCAUCGAGCAACGUUUUGGGUCGGCGGCCUGAGACUUCCCUCUUAUUUUCUCAGCGUUUUGAGUAAUUCCGCGGAAUAAGCGACAAAGCAGUCGGACAGCCUCCACCUCCGAAAGCAGCUCCAGGUACAACCACAAGAUCGGGCCGGGCAGCGACAAAUCUUGAGAGAGCAAUAAACAACAUGGUUGACAAUCUUAAAUCUUGCGACUUGCCGUCCCACACAGAUGCGCAGAUACACAGAUACCCAUACAGAUGCACUCACUCAGAUACGAAUGCGGAUGAAUGUCGCAGCCAUUAUGGAACCCUCUUGCUGCCCUCUGCUGCUGCUGUUGCUGCUGCUGCUCUUCCCGAAGACAUUUCUUUUGUGUUUUUGUUGUUUUUUCCAUUUGUUUGGUGGCGAGCAAACGACCAACACUAUCGCAAUCCCAGCCCCAAUCCCAGUCCCGCGUCUGUUGCGGUCAUUGCUAUGCUGGAAUGCAGAACAGGGUUCUGACCACUUUAAAGGCUUGGCCUGGCCUCGGCCGCCGAUAGCAGACCCGAGCCCGAGCCGUUGCUUAGGUAGAAAAUGCCAAGACGUAAGCACCCCAGCUCCAACUCCGCUGCACUGUGGGAUGUGCACGAGUAAAUUGUAAAAGAAAAAUAUAUUUGAAGAUCCAAUAGGAAGUGUGUAACGAAAUGGAGUACGACAAGCUCUGAUUAAAAUAACAGAAAUGCUCACAUCAUAUUUUUGGUGUCAGCACAAUAAUUUGGUUAGAUUAGCAUACUCUAAAAUACAGCACUAUGUUUUAAGCAACUAAUCGCACGAUCCUUUCCACAGUGCAGCCUGAGCUUGCGCUGAGCCGGAGCUUGGCCUUUUGGCUUCGUGUCGAGUCCGUUGGCUGUUUGGCCUGCUUGUUGUUUGUCUCCUUUAUGGCUUCUUCUCGUACCCUUUAUCGCCAUCUGCGAUUGCAGCCAGAUUUUCCACAGCUAUUUUUGUAGUUUUUAUUUUGGGGUCACAUUUUCGUGCUCCGCAGGUAAGAGGAGCGAGCGAUACGAAAAGCAUUUUCUUUGUUGGCCAGGCCAGUUUUGGUCGUUGCCAUUGAGAUUGUGUGCGGAUAUCGUGUGUCUGCUGAGCCUUGGGGCCCAACCACAAGCCCCAUAUUUCUCCUCCCAGAAAACUCUGACUACCAAAAGCGACUUCCAUUUGUGCGAGGCUAAGAUUCACUUUUAAGACCGUAAAUCAUAUUUGAUUGCUUAACGACAUUUUAAACAAGAUUUGCAAAGAAAUCAGUGCCGUGCCAGACAUAAAAAUUCAAUGAGCAGCCAGACAUUAAACCCUACAGAUAAGCCAGAGCUGCCACUCCAUAGACCGAGGCAGAAGCGUUUGGCAUUUGAUGUUUAUUUAAUUUGCCGCAAUUCAUAACAAUUUCGUUUACGACAUUUUUACUACUCGACAAAUGCCGUAAACAAAACACUGCCGUCGAUUUGUUUGAUGGCUCCUUCUGUCUUGUUCUCGCCUCUCUCUCUCUCUCUCUCUCUGGCUCGCACUGGAACUGGGGCACACGCUCAGGUUUUUAUGACCCCGCACAUCGCAGGGUUACGGACACGGACAUGGACACAGACAUGGACUGCUCGACAAUUAAACGCCAUCAUCAAGUAGAUUUGAAAGCGAAAGUGCAGCGCAGUGCAGGGCGGACCUCCCUCCGGCCUAUCAGCACCCCGGCGAUUUAUGUGAGUUUUAUAGAUCGUAAAAGCAGCACUAACAGCCGGGCAGAUGAUUUUACGACGUGUUGAAAUGCCACCAGGACGAGUUCCGCCAGCCCGACAAGUCAGACAAGUGUCUUGUGGACCACGACACCGGGUUGCUGCUCUGAUUGCUGCUCCGCAGCUGAUUCCAGCUCGCAUCGGAUGUGGUUCAAGUGCAGCAUCGUAAAAUCCACCAUAUUCCCGCAGCCACUUGAAAGAGCCGUAAAAGGGCUAUAAACCAGAGUGGCGCCCAAGGAGUCACCGCAAGUAUUUGGGAGACAGCAUACGUGUCCUUCGCCUGUUGUCUGUACGGAUUGUGUGAGCGAUUGGGUUCGUCCUGAUUUGAUAAGGAUAAUUAUGUCUGCUCGCCAUCGGGCCAUAAAAGGACAAUCAAUCCACGGAGGCGGAUGAAGCAUAUGCCGGGUAAUUGGCCCCUGUUGCAGUUGGGCUCUGAACACUGGGAAAUAGUCUAUAAUUGAGUGGGUUUAGGGCUAAGAAAAACACAGCUAACAGUGUACCAAUGAAAUAUUUUACAUCAUCUUUGGAGAAUUUAUUUGCAUUUAGAUCUUAAUGAUUCCUGACCUGAUAAAGAUCUAAAGGUUUCACAGAGAAACUAAUUAUCGAGCGUCUACAAAGGGUAAGCCCCUUCAUACCUUUGUCCAUAUCGUGCCCGGUAUCCAUUAUUAACUCACUCGAAGACGUGUUGAUAACCAGGCCCAGGGAGCAGACAUCAGACAUCACAGCCCAGACAACAUAGAACUGCGAGCGGCGGACAAUGAACAGCGAACAAUUGAAGUAAUGACGUGACUAUGGACAGUCGACGCAUAGCGACUGCCCCUGCCCCACUGCCACUCCGAUUUUGAUUCCCAUAUCCACUGAGAUCCUCAGACCCAGCCCGAGUCGCUGCUGCUGUCUGGCUCUGGGCUCAUUGUUAUCAUUGAAAUGGCAGCGGCGAGUCCAAACUUAUGCAUCGAAAGUGUUGUUAAAUUACGCCAAAUUGCUUAAUUUCAAUAAUGAAACGAACCGACGAACGGACAGACAAACGAACAGACCGCUGGAACCACUCAAUGAAAUUAUAAAUAUUCGGUCCAAAUGAUAUGCAAAAGUGCAAAGAGAACGAAGACUGCCCCGUGAUCGUGACGUCUCCGUCUUCUACUUCUGAGGACCCCCUGCCUGCGACUUCGAUUCCAACUCUCAGUUCUCUUUUUUAGCUACUCUGCUUCUGUCCCGAUCCCGAUCCCAAUCCCGUUCCCGUUCCCGUUCCCGGCCAGACGGCGUCCAAUUUAAUGGGCCCAUUGAAUUGGUCGUUAAUGUUUCUUUUUAUUUGGCCUUUAUUCUGCCCGUUGCUGUUGCUGUGCCACUUAUUUAUUUCUCUCUGUUUCUGCUCCACCGUUAUUGUUUGCUGCAGACUUACUCAAUUUUAAUAUUGUUUACGAGUAUUUAUGGGAGCUUAAGUAAUGUGCUGCAAUUCCAAUUUCAAAAGAUAAUUUCAAAUUUACUGUCAAUUUAUUUAUUAGACGAAUGCCCCCUGCCCCAGCCCCUGCCCCUAAAUUGACUUCAGUUUUUAGAUGGAGAAGGGAGCGGCGCUGCCCGGGCUGAAGCUCUUUCGAAUUUCUUUCUUUGUUUGUUUGUUCUUCUGUUUGUGUUUGUCUGCCCAACACAAACUUAUACGAGGGGUAUAUCUUAUGUUUUGGAAAAGAUAAAAGCAGUACCGACCCCAAAAAAGUUUUUACAAAGUUAUCUGCGUUAUUUACUGCCUGGCGUCGUGGGCGUAUACGCAAUAUUUCAUAAUUCCCUGCUUGGGGGGCAGAAGCCAGCUGAGCAGACAGCUUUGAUGGCCCAUAGACAACACUUAGCAGCGUCGAAUGGCUAGUUUAUCAAUUUGUUAAUAUCGAAAGGGAACAUGCCAUGAACCACAUAUCAAUCCAUGAUAAAUUAAAGCAGCAUUAAUGCAUUUUAUACAAACUGUUGUUGUAGGUAAUCAACGUACAGUUCACCGUUUCUUAUGCUCUUCACAUAUUUUAGUAAUUUACAUUAUUCAUCAUUCCAUUAGCUAGCGCUAACGAAAUUAUAUGAAUACAUAUUCAAAUUAGUUUAUCGAAUGCCAUGAGAUGUCCAUUAAGCAAAAGGUGUCGCCAUUGCCACCAACCAAACUUGUUGUUAAUCAUUUAAAAAUAUUGCCAGUAUCGACUGACGCCAUCAGAGUCGUUUGCUUGAGUGCAGACCUGGCUACUCACGUCCUCUUGUCUGUCGGAGUUGGGAUCUAGUUCCUGUCAGUUCAGUGGCAGGGGCCAGUGCCAGAUCAAAGCACUGUGGAGGCGUUCAACUCUGAGUGUCCACCAGCAGUCACAGAUACAGACAUACAACCAUGGCAUGGCAAUUGCGAUUUGUUGCGAGGCUGGUGACGUUUGUAGGCACUUUAUCAUUGCAGUGUAUCAUAAUUUAGUCAGCUCGCACAUGCAUACGUACAUUUCCACCCACAUUCGCCAGACGAACAGCAACAACACUGACAGCAACAGCAACAGCACAGCAACAGCAACAAAUAAAAUUCGUUGACAUUCGUUGCGCUGACUAAGCAGUUGACUGAGCCAGAGCAAAAGGCAAAGAGCCGGGAACGUGUGCAAACUUGGCUGACUUCAGAUGGCCCAGCUCGAUAAGAACAAAACGCUGACCACGCCCAGCCCUCGCCGUCGACCCCUGCACAUGCCCCUACAGGAGCCAUUUCCUGCGACAACAUUUUGUGCUUAAAAACUUGCAUUAAGUAUUAAGUAUGAGAGCAUAAUGGGUUUGUUUUCAUUACUCGCCCGAAAAACGGGCGCACUCUGCUCUGGCCCCCAUUGAUUACAUGCUCGAGCUGAAUCGAUCGGCCCAAAACACUGAAAUUAGUUGGCAUUUUAACACGAACGAACACCUGACACUCGGAGUCCGGACAGGUAGGCUCCAGCAGCAGCAGCAGCAGCAGCAGCAGCUUCCUUCCAUUCGACGGCACCGGUGAGAAUGGUUUCUUUUUAGUCAAAUGGAUUAUAUUACAAUCAGAGUGGGAGGGGAAAGACCAGGGGAAAGACCAGAGUACGUGGUCAGUCAUUAUCGAUGGUGCAUGCAACUGCAACAGCAACAACAUCGGAUACACUUCAAGAAAAGGGAGGUUUGAAAUGGUCCGGGAAUAAAGGUAAAAAAAUGCAGUCUUUGUGGUUGCAUUAAAUAUUAAAUAAUUGUUUAAAAUAUCACGCCACAGAGUCGAAUUUUUAAGUUUUUGUAUCUAUAAAGAAUCCGAAUUGCGUUGAUAGACUUUGGGCUCCAAUCUAUAAUUGGCUAUUGCAUUGUUUAAAUGUUUAGUAUAUUUAAAUUAAAUAAGUUAUAUUUGCCAUUGUAAUUGAUUAAAGUGCAGGUGCUUAUAAUUCUAAAAACUCUCUUCUAAGUAAUUCGUUUGUCUCACUGCAUCGAUGGGUUAUUGAUCGAUAAUUCCAUUUAAGCAAAUGCCCGCGCUGAUUACCAGAAUUGUCCAAAUUAUAUGUGUGUGGUCUCCGAUCUCGAUGGCUCUUGGCCGCGUGAGUUAGCAUUAAAAAACUGUACAAGUUUCCUCAAAAUCCUUAAACUCGAAAGCAACUCGAAGUUUGUGCGAAACUUUCAUAAUAACAGAUCGUAGCAGCCGCUCUCAGACCAGAAGAAACGGGGGGCAGGACACUCACUCGUGUGUGAGUUUGUCGCUGGUGGUCAACCCAUCCGAACCCAUUCCAUUUUAUUCCAGCCCCAUCGAGAAGAUGUAUUUUCACUUAAACGCUUUACUCUUCGAAUAAUGGCUUUAAUGACUUUAAUGGCGUUCAGAUAAUUUGGCCGCCAGGCACCUGCACGGCCCAGCUCUGCCCAUCUCGGUUCUGCCCUGACCGCCUCGCCUCGACUCUUUCUCGACGUAAUUGAUGAAAGUAGAUGGCCUCCGGGAAGAGGCAUAUCCAGGAUGCCCAUGUGAAAUGAAUAUACUUUGUUUCUGCCGUUUUCUCUUUAAAAUGCACUUGAGUACAAAGCGAAUAAAAACGAUAAGUUGCAAUGAGAUGAAAACAGAAUAAAGUUGGAGAUAUUGCUUACAACUAGAUUUAUUCUUAAAUAUUUCUAUGUGCCUUUCCAAGAGUAAUAUUUCUCGGCCACUUCACUAGGGUGAUAUAAACGCAGGUCUACCCGUGGUAUUCAUUCAUCCGUCGACCUUGAAGCGGCAAAAAAAUGCGGACAAGAGAGCGACAACUGUUGGGUAAAGGUAAAUGGCAGUUCGUAAAAAGAAAGAAGGCAAUAAAGAACACAGGUAUGGCCAAAAACGAAACGAGAAACGGAAAAAACGUCAUCGCACGGCGAUACAAAUCAAAAGGUGCAACAUAAAAAAUGACAUUGGGAAAGCAGAUAAUUAAGCAAAGAGGCAGUGGAAGGGGGAGACGACUCAUGGAACGACAACGGGCUGCCUGACCUGCCAGUCGAGAGGGUGGAGGUGGACAAGGAGAAAUGCUGCUGCUGAAUGACAAGUCGCAUAUUUUCAAAGAACAGGCAACAAAAAAGGAAUAGACAAGAGGGAAACAUUGGAAAAUGCUCAUAAAUUUCCACAGACACAUUCAUAAGCAAGCGUAAUAGAAGAGAAAGGGGAGCGGAGUGCAUGGAGUGCAGAGGAAAUGGCCAAGAGCAGCUGCAGGGGGAGGCGGCGAGCAAGGGAGCAUGGCGAUGAUAGACUUGCGACUUGGUAGGGAGAACAGCGAACGGCACAGAGAGCCGAGAGGGAGACGAACUCUGAGAUGAAUUCCAAAAUUAGUCAAACAGACCGAGUCAAUUAAAAUGAAUGAGAUGCUCUGCUGACGGAAUUUAUAGAACCGCUUUUGGAAGUGGGAGUGAAAGUGGGAGUGGGACUGAGCAGGCGGCUACUUAAAAACGCAUUUCCCCGGAGGAAAAUGGUCUUAAUACAAUAUUUGUUUACGAAAACAUUCCCAGCGGCCAUUCAGAAUGUCGCACUGCUGAAUUUAUAAUACGAGUUUGGCCAUUGCGACUUUUUAAUUAAGAUUCCGAGUGCAGCGCAGAGCCGAAAAAUGCUUUUAUUAUUUUAAUUACCCAUUUUGGACUCAGCUGGAUCGGGGCACUCAAUAUUAAUUUCAUAAAAAUACGAGUAUCUUGCCGGCAGCCAUUUCAGCUUCUGUUCAUUAUUGUCUGUUGGGAACGUGUCUUUUGUUUGCUUUCCCGCCAGCUGGGGCCUUCUUUACAAAAAAGAGCUCCCAAAAACACACACAGCAAACAUUCAUGGAAUAGAUACGCAUUUGUUCGACGUUCGAUAAACAUUUAUUGGGCAAUCCAAUCACGGAACUCACGUCCCAUUCGUGACAGUUUCGUUAAAAUGUUUUUUCUCCAUCUGACUUAUUUUCUCUGUUGGGGUUUGCUAUUCGAAUUCCACAAGAAUUAUGUUUUCUGUAUGAAAAUUAAAUAAAUAAACAAUUUCGAAUGCUAAUGGUAUUUUAGCUAUACCAUUGGGAACCUUUUUUUUAAAUUAUAUCGAAAAUGAAGUUCAAUGAUAAAUGAUAGGUACUUAUGUACUCGUACAAUGUCUGUAUACAUAAGAUCAUAUGUACAUAAUUAGCUAAAAAUUGUAAAAUAGUGCGUUAAAAUUUAAAAUAUUUUCUUUUUCUGUUUUCAAGCGGUGAAUAUUACCUAUUAACUUCAAAUAAUUUUGUUGAAUUAAUGCGUGCUUUAGGAAAUCUUUAUACAGGGCAUUUAAUAUUAUAUUAAUAUUUUCACCCAAUACAAUGCAUAAAUAUGUUAUAAGACUCAUAUGCUCAGUAAUUUUUAUCCAAAAAUGUCACAUGGGAAUAUCAAAAUAACUGAAAUUCAUAUUCCAAAGUUGUAUUGUUCACCCUUAAAACGCUUUGGUGUACAUAUAAAAAUAUGUAUGAAGAUGUUAAUAUAGCACAGAUCGGGAUAUUUAUUCAGGUUUUGAACAUGAAUUUACAUGCGUAUUUCGGAAAUAAAUGGAUGUAAAGAAAUGCAAAAUGUAAUUGGAAAUUUGUACAUUAAUCGACUUUGAAAAUCUACAAAUCCAUACACAAAUAAUCCCGAAUAAACAAUUAUACGAAUAAGGCCAGACAAAACCACAAAUUUAACGAUCAAAUUGACAUUUGAUUCAAGAGGGACCAGACACUUUCUACACUGUGCCACUUUGGUUUUGAUGGGCGGCGGGGUCAAAGUCAAGGCGAAGCCGCCCCUCGUCAAGACGGUGAUUAGACGCAUAAUCUUUUGGGGCAAUUUGUCACCGCAAGGAGCGGGCGCCGCCAGGCGAAGGCGAAUGGCCACUAAAAAUCAUUUAAGGCGAAAUAAAAGUAUUCUUUAUGGCCUUUUUAUAGUUGCUGCAACAAUCUAAUAACAAUCCAAAUAAUUAUCCAAACAAACAAUUCCAACGCCGCCAAAGCGACGGCAAAUGUCAAAGCAGCAGCGAGGCAGCUCUCGGUUUCGGUUUCUGUUUCUGUUUUUCUUUCUGUUGCUGUUGCUGUUGCUGCCUCGACGGACGGACGCCCAAAAUGAGCCAUAAAACGAACAUAAAACCCCAGUGCGAAAUGCUACUGAGCUGGGGCCAGCCACGCUAGCAUAACGCUAGGCCACGCCCAUCCAUUGCGACGCUGCGAUGGCAGCGCAGCGCACACGGAAGCCAUAACAGGCAAGGCAAAGUGCCGAUAACUCAAAAGCAACUGUGGGAAAACGGCCAUGCGGCGAGGCCGAGAGCGAGACAACAUGUGCGACAUGCUGGCCAACCAUGAUGGCUGCGCGCGCCCCAUGCAGAGAGAACGGGACAGGGCGUGCUGCUUCUGUUGCCCUCUCGCUCGCUCGCUCACUCUCCUGCUGGCUCGGCCGCAGCCACGUGUUCUCUCGCAUUAAACAAGUAAAUCGCCCGUUGAGCAUAAUCGAUACACACACUCGUACACCACCGCUCUUCUUGCUCUUUCGGAUUCAAUUCUCGUUCGUGAGAAUCGUUUUUCUCACGCUCUCGGCUCUGCCGCUCCACGCCGCGCCGCACUACCCCGCGCCGACGCCAUAACUGUCGUCGCUUAUGGCCAUUUUAAGUGCGACUGAAUGUGGCUCAAUUGUCAGAAGAGAAGAGAGCGUACCUCUCCACUCUCUCUUUCAACUUUUUGUUUGGCCGUGAUGUUUGCCGGGACUAAUUAGUAUUGAUUUAAUUAGUCAUUGACCACUUGACUGCCCAACUGCUCCACCAGAACUAUAUUCGAUUUCUUCGCUCUCUGGAAAGGCUUUUCGGUGGAGCUUCGCUCCCCUGCUCUCCUGCUCUCCUGCUCUCCUCUCCCCAACAGGCAAAGGAAGGCGGGAGAGAGCGCCAGAAAGCGCGCGCAUCCUCCAUAUUCGCACGGCUGCUAGAAUGGGACAUAAAAUGUGCCAGGCAGUAAAAAUGUAGAUUUAAGUAAGUGGAAACGAGAUCGUUACGUUGCGCAUAAAAAUAAAAAUCAUUGUGCUCCGGCACUGAUUGAAAUAAGCAGAGUGAGCAAGGCAGAGCUGAGCACAGGCAGAGUGGAGCUAAAAAGAGCAGCGCAGAGCACACAAGAGCAGGCGUUGCGUCGGCAACAGGCAGGGAAUAUCGAACCAGUUUUCCGCGGCCACGUUCAUUCUCCUGCCUUUUCCACUCGGUUUUCUUUUGAGUGGAAAAGCGCUGAGAGUUCAUUCCGCCUUGGCUUGGUUCCUGGCCUGCAGCUGCACAAAGGAUGAGGGAGGCCAACGAGUCGUUGCGAGUCGAUUUCCCUGUGCCGUUAUCAAUCACAACAUUGGGGCUCUGAGGCCUAGGAGCACCUUGAUAUAACCUAAAACUUGUUUGUUUCUAGUUUCCCACACCCACACCCUCGCACCCUCUUCCCCCCCUUUUCUGUUGUUGUUCAUUCCGUGUUCUCUCCCUCUGUGCCCAUCCGUUCUACGAGUGUAUCUUGUUGCUCUGCUCUGCCAUGCCAUGCCGCUUUUUAAGAUUCUUUUCAUUUUCAUUUUAUGGUUUUUAUGCGGGUCUUUAUGACUUUUAUGGGGUUUAGUGCGUGCCAAAAACGAACAGCAGCAACAACCACUUUUAAUUGAAUAAUGCCCCAGCGGCCCGUCCCGGCCCGGCCGACGGCGUCGGCUGUUUGUUGGGUUUCUUAUGGCCGUACAUAGUCCGAAGGCGUCGGCGUUGCGCCGGUAAUUAGGCAGAGAUAAACAUUUAAUUGGCGAAUUCAGAAUUGGAAAUAGCCGUGAAAUCCCCCCACUCCCCUAUCAACUCGCAUAUUGACUAUAAUUGGGUCAGAGAACUGAAAUACGGGUGCGUUCUGUUCCAUUUGCUUCUUGGGUGGCCCUUCUCCGGUGAGGAAACACUUCAAUUGGAUUUGUAAAUUAGCUGUAUGAAAUGUUUGGGAAACACACGACCUAAGGCAUUGGAAUAUCUAAGACUAAGACACAAGCACAUAGAGAGAUACGCCCAUCUGAGUGCUCAGAUAUCAAAAAUGAAUGCUUUAAAAUAUUUUCAUGCGCUUGACUGGCAUUAUGCAGGUCCACGGGUUUCUCUGAGCGUUCCAAAUAAUUGCGAGUGGUCGAGUGCAGGAAAGAGUAAAUUGAUAAAGUAUAAAAAAAAGAAACUUAAUAAUAUAAAUAAGUCGAGGCCGAGACUGUCGCAAGAGGCAUCGAGCCCUGGUCAAUUAUGGCGCGGAGAAUGGGCCGAGUUAAUUGCAGUUUUUUAAUAUCUUUGCCCCUUGCUUUCUGUAGGAGCGAUCGGAAAGUGAGUGUAAACACGACAUGAAAUGUGGCCAUCGCCAUCGCAAUCGCCAUCUACUUACCCUGAAACAUGCCGCAUGUCUCGGGCCCCGCGCCACACGCCACUCUGGCCACCUCGAAGCGGCAGUGGCAGGGCCAGACUCCCCGCCAGGCCCAGGGGCCCUACUCCUUUCGGCUGCCGCGUGAAAGGAUGAAAUUUAUGACCGGCCCAGGCUCAUGUAAUUGCCACGCAAUGCUGUCGGAUCGCACUCGGAGUCUCUUGCAUCCGUAUCCGAGGUGGACGCUCACACAAUUUUCAAUUUGCUGAAAUGAAAAAGGAAACAACAAAAAACAAAAACGGGAAAUAUGAAAACGUCACAAACAAAACAAACAGAGUGCCUGCUGCAGUGGUCCGAGAGUCCUCUGUGGAACGGCACGGCACGGCGAUGGCACGUCCUGGUCCGGUCUUCGUCCAGCCAAUGAACUCAUGUGGCGCUGCCUGCAGUCAGUCGCUGCCACGGAUCGGUUACGUGGAAUGUCCUUUUAAUGGACUUUACACUCUCACACUGCGCCCUCCGGCCUGGAUCCGGAUCCUUUUACAAACCUUUUAGGUUGCACUCGCAUUCCGCGCUGUUUGAUUGCCGUGAAUUGCUUGCUGCAUGAUUUUUAUCCCUUCCAUCCAUGUCCUUUUCCGCUCCUCUUCUUCAACGUCACAGAUGUCAUAUUCAUUUAGUUUCUGUGUUGGUUAAGGAUGAGGAUGCGCUGGCCCAGGCAAUUAUGAGAUUUUCAGAGCUGACCAGCUGGCCGGAUGGGAUAGGACCACCUACCGGAGUACUAUAAGAUUUUCAAUUAUCAAUUUAUUACAAGACUUUUCGAAUACAAAUAAUCACUGUUCAAAAGUUCUAAAAUUUUGAGGAAUCUUCACGUUUUUGUCUACAAACACUCUUCCCCUGUUAACUACUCUUUUAGCUCUUUGUGGCGAGUGCUCUUCAGUUAAAUUAGUAGCUUGGUGUUGACUGUACGACUCGAGAGGUCAGAAGUGGACAUGCAGAGUCAUGACUGUCGCUCUGGAGAGCCCAGAGCUCCGGCUCUCGUGGUGGGUAGACAGAUGCGAUGGCGGCGUCAAAUGUAACGCUGAAUUUAUUACGGGGGGACUUUAUUUAUGCGCUUAUCGCGCUGCCAGUUGCCGUUGCCGUGGCUGUUGCUGUUGCCGGCCUUAGCACGUUGUCAAGUGUUUAUCUUGGCCCCCGGACCCGGAGCCCAAACCAGAUCCCAAAACAUAUCCCGCACUCGGCCAGAGCCACAGCUCGAAACGAAAUACCAAAAAGCUUAACAUGGAAUUUAUGGCUGCACCUAAAUCAUGCGUCGAAAAAACAACAACUUACGAAUAUGUAUCCGAGUGUGCGAGUGCUUUGGUGAGUGUAUGCAUGAAUGAGCCUGUCGCAUGAUUUAGGGGCCCCGAGUCGCAGUCGAGAAAUUUAAAUAAUAAAUAUUUCAUAGUUACAGACAAACACACACAAAGCGAGCAAAUGUAUACCCAUCCCGAUGGAUACAGCCACAGCCCAAGCCCGAGUCCAAAACCAAAUUCCAUUCCACAUCCAAAUCGAAGCCAUUCGUAAAAUAUUCAAAUCGAACGCGACUAAAUCAAAACAUUGUCGAAAUAAAGCGUUUGAAAAUUGAAUUUCUGUUUCUUUGGUUCUGUCUCUGGCUGUGGCUCUUUCUGUUUCUUUUCACUUCAUCUCGGGCAAAAUUGAAAAGCAUUUGUAACGGAAAUGAAAGCCAAUCCAAUCGGUUGCUACACGCUUCAGGGGAGGAAACCAGACAGACUCAACUCGCAUUGAGUCGCUUGGGUCUUUUGAAUUUAAAUUAAGAAAUUUAUCUUUUGAAUGCGCCUUCCAUUUCGACUUUGCGAGGGAGGGUGCCGGUGCCUCUCCCCUCGUGGCCUUUUUGUUGCUCCGAUGUAAGUUGUCUGGCAUCUCCCACCUCUUUGGACCAAUAAAAACGAAAUGAAUUCCAUUUGCUUUGUUUUGGCAAACGCCUCACUUCCAGUUCUAAGAUUGCCAUCAAACUGAAACCAGAUACUCAAAGUUUUGCUUGUUUUUUAUAACAUUUUAAAUUAUUUUGCGAGCGUUGUUGUUUUCUUCUGCUGCGAAACGUGUAUCAUGAAGUUAUUAAAAUUAGCUCGUCGAGAUUUAUUUAAUCUGAUCUUAUUGCACCUUUUCAUUUGGGAGUCGACUCAUUUGUGGAUUUGGAGAAGCUUCUAACAAUUUGUAGCCCAGCGGAGCAGUGAUUUCGAAUGGUUCAAAUUGGCAUUUAUGGCCGACUUCAUGGCCAAUAAAAAUUUGCAUUGUAUUAUUAUUUGUCAACUGGCCGAAACCAGAUCGGCUGCGAGCCAGGCCAGUCCGCUGCAGCCAUAAAUUAGCGACCCCAACUGCCACGGAAUUUGCAUUCGAAAUUACGCUUCUUAAAGAUAAAUACCUUAAAUCGGUUGUUAUUUAGAAGACCAUAACAUAAAUUGCAAAAACAAAUAAUGCCAUUUGUCAAUGGGAUUACGAAUUGGGAUCUGCAAUAUGUCCACAGUUUUUAUUGCUCCUAAUGCAUUUCGCAUUCGGAAUGCCCCGACACUGCGAUUAACAUACAAAUCAGCCAAUUGGUAGGCAGAUCAACAAUCAUCAUUAUAAAAAGAUGAAAUGAAUGCACACCAAAGUGUAAGAUCCCAUAAAUAAAUACAUAAGAGUAUAAAUUAGGAAUGAGUCAGAUAAUAGUUAAGUUUACGCAUGAUGCAGAUUCAGAAAAUAAUUGCAGAAUAAUUAAUUAAUAAUUUAAAACUCCAACUCAUCACUGUUCAUUUUAUUAUCGUUUACAGAAAACACACAAUACAUUUUCCUGUGCACUCAACUCUGUCUCGAAUAAUGCUACAAAAGUGUUUUCCAUUUUGGGCACAUUAAAAAUUCCACACGCGUUUUGGGUGCGUCUCCACAUGAAUAUGUACGAGUAUGUCUGUACAUCUGUACUGCAUGUAAGCACAUGAAUCGUAUUAUUUAUGAGUCCUUGUGAGUGCCUGGGCCAGGAGUCGGGCUUUUAAUCAGAACGGGGAACCCUGUCCGAGCCCUGAUGCUGAUGAUUUGUGGUGAAGCAGAGAUUGGCAAGUGGGUCAGUGUGCCUGUGGGGUAGAACGACGCGAAGGAUACGGAUACGAGUAUUUAGGCCACUCGACCAUCCCCAGGCCAAUUUGUGCCAUGUGUGCAGAGUCGCCCAAAUAAAGGGCCCAAAACAAAGCACAAAAAACCAGAUGCGGACACGGUUCCAGUUUCGCUUGCAGCCAAAUGUAGGUGAAGAGCGGACAAGAGCGAGAGCGGGAGCAGACCCUGACCGCUGGCCAUUGACCGAACCCAGAUCCAGACGUAGACCCGCACGAGUCUCUGGCCUGGGCUCAGGGACGGCCUGAAAUGCUCGAAAAUCUCAUUUGCAUAUUCUGCAAACGGUAAACGUAACAGAACCAGAAACAGGGAAAGUGUUGUCUGAAAUUGCUUCUCUAUCUUCGGUCUGUCCGUCUCUCUGAAUCUCUCUCUGUUUCUCUGCGUGAGUUUGUUUUUUAAUUUCAACUGCCAUUUGGGUGCUUGUUUUUCCAAUUAACAGACGAAUUUUUCAUUUCAUGUAAUUUAGUUUUUUUUGCUCCGUUUCGAUGCCAAUACUUUCCACACCGACCUUUCGACCUAUUCGCAUUAUGGAACUGAAAGUCCGUCUAUUGGUGGAUGAGCUAUGCCCUACUCAGAGCCUCCUACCACCACCGAUUGCGAUCUAAUUAAAUGAGUUAUGGCGCCGGCAUAAUGCCAGUACUUUGGCUUCGGAUAAACGUUUGCCGCCUAAUCCCCGCCCCGCCUCAGAGCGGGAGCCAGCGACAGGCCCAGAGAUACGGCCGGUCUCUGGCGAUUUACGAGCUCGAAUUUUGCAUAGUUUGAAAUGGCAUAAAGCACCAACUUGGACACAAUUCAUUUCCCUGGGCAUACAAAUCUGCCGUUUUGCAUUUGGCGGCCAUGAAUCAUGGCUGGCAGCGGACUGCAGGCAGAGUUAAAAAAUAUUUACAAUGGAAAAUGCAUCGGGAAAGUCAUCCAUCCAUAUAGAUAGAACAUAGUCCCUGAAUGUUGGUGCAACUACAACGAACAUUACAUUUAAAAUUCUCUUAUUUAAGACACAGAGAACUAGAUCCCACUGUACUCUGGUACUGGUAUCCCGUUGGGGCGCAACCCGUUAAAUGCCAGGCUCCUUUGGCAGGGAAACUUCCAGUUUCGGGUGGACGUCGAAUGGCAUCGGAAUUUAUGCACAUUUUAUUGACCAACGCAGAGAAAAGAGAAAAGAGCAGGACAGAGUCAAAGUUGGGCUGGUUGUUGGCACAACAACGUGUCCAAAAGUGUUUUAUGGCCGUUGUGGGCGCUCAAGUGGCCAUUUUGGGUCGACCGGCGGACUGCAAGGAGGCAGGAGUGGAGUGCAUAUAAAAUGCACUCGCCAGAAUGUCCGACAACCACUUGGUCGGGCUGGAAGGAGACCGAGGAGCCCUGAAUACAGAUGAGCAGAGGCAUAUGAGUGUUGUACUAAAUACUAAACACUCUCAAGUAUUUGCAGCUCUAAUGCCACGCUGAUUUAUGGCAGCUGAUGGCAGCCUUUGGCAUUGGGACUUUGAGCUAAAACCGCAGUUGCAAUUAGUUGGAGUCGCCUGUGCCUUGGGCCGUGUCAACGACCUUCCGCGAACGAAGCUGUAACGAUCCGCGCACACAAAAGCGGUUCAAAGUCAAAAAGUCAAUUAGCUUCUGAUGAGGAAUACAGCCAGAGCCUGGACCCGUACCGGACACGGACUCGGACCCGCACCAGUGCGGAUACCUAAAAAUACAUUGAAUCGGGGCAAUGGAGUCCGCGCCGGCGGCUGGAUGGCGUGGAAAUCUCGUUAAAAGUCAAUAACAGACGCCAUUAAAUGUGCAUGAAAAUUAAAUGAAAACGGCUUGAUGAUGCGGCCUGCGGGAUGGUGGGUGCGAGUGGGGGCGUAGUGCAGAGCAGGCAGACACGCGACCACUUGAACUUGAGGCAGCUGGGGCAUCCAACGGCAGUGGCAGUGGCAGCGGCAGCGGCAGCGGGGCCAGUCAUUUGAGCUGACCCCAAAGCGGGCAGACAAGUAGAGUUCAGGUUCAAUGGCAUCCCAGCGGGGAAGCAGAGUGAAUAAUGCGAUACGGAAUUGCGAUAAGCUAAAUUCAUUCGAUCCCUCCACCAUCUGUUGCAAUGCUAGAACGAACCGACAUUUACUUAAUCAACGCGAUGUGUGUCCGUGCACUAAUUAUAAAUGUGACAUAAUUACAUACACAUAAAUAUGGGAAUGAAAGAGGACUGGAAUUUAAAUUCAUUCUCAUUGUAGGUUGUGUUUGGAACACGCAUAGAACACUUUGCCGCAAAAGUCAGCUGGAAACAUAUUCAACACACUCUUAGCACUUUUACACCGCUCUCCAAGUAAACAAAUUAUACAAAAAUCAAAUAAUUUGCAUAUAAAUUUCUGACAAGAUGAAUCGCAUUCUGGAGGAUGUUAUCCACAAGAACGCUGACACCAUCGAGCGCAUCACGAGCGAGAACACAAUGGGAUACGUGGUGGCAGACAACUCGACCCAUUCCGUGGCCGAGACCUCGUUCGACAACACCGGAGCCCUGGCGAUCGUGAAGCACUUGCACGGGGUUCUCGUCAGCUCGUGCCAGAGUGUCGUCCGGGACCUGGAUCCCACCAACAAGCUGUGCUUCCUGCGGGUCGCCACUCGCAAGUUCGAGUAUCUGGUGGCCCCCGAGGAGGACUUCACCAUAACCGUUCUGCAGUAGCCAGCUGGAUUGGGAUCGACUGGAGGAGGCGUUCGUUCUAUUAUCAUGUUAAAAUCAACUGGUCUGUGUGUGUUUCCCUCUACAAUAUAAUACAAGGAGUUCUGCUCGUUGUUUAUGGGGUAACGAUGAGCUGAAGCUGAACCCUUUCAAAUGCUAACUAAAUUCAGAAGAAUGCUUUAAUCAACAGUGCGGGAAUCGGCCACCCGAAAAUCCUUUAUAAUACCCUGGCGACGUUCCGAGCUGGAUUAUUUACGACAUGGCUUCAUCGGGCAGGAAAUGUAUCUGUGAGAAUGCGAAUGCGGCUUUCUAAUGCGAUAAUUCAAAAGAUUUACUUCUGUCAACAUGACCAUUUUGUAGAGAGAAGACCUUAGGUUUAGACGAUACGUUUUCGGGGUGGAAAUGUGGCCUUUGACCUUUUUUUGCUUCCUCCAUCUUGCGCUCUGCCACAAUUGAUGCUGCCUGCUAUUUUAAUUUAAAAUGGCCGAAAUCGUAACUCAUUUUUACGAUGUACCCUCCGGGCAGUGGAUGUGCGACGAGUAUCUUGUCCUAUUUUUACGUAGCCUUGCAGGGGUUGCUUCUCUCUCAAUCGUUACAAUAACUUAUCUGCCCUUUUUGUUCUACCCGAGUCCAUAAUCACCACGAAACAGUGACGGAGAUGGAGAGGGAGAGGGAGACGCUCCUGGGGUGCGCUUUGUGAUUCUCGCAGCUAUCUUGAAGCAGUUUCCAUUGUCUGGCACCGUUUUGUGGUGCAGGGUAAAUAUAAAAAUAUCAAAAUUUGUACAAAAACUUAAUUCAUCUGUCGGCUCGCCCCGUUCCACCAUUGUGCCGCGACGGAAUCGACCCCAGAACUGCGUACUUCAUUUCAGGCAGCGUGAAAUGAAAUUACUCCAUGGUCCAUUCCCACUGACGACUUCAUCUGGAAGCCCCGUGUCCCCAGACCAAACCCGAUUCCUGCGAAAUUAUGAAUGCUCAUGGAAAUUAGAAACACUUUGAAUUAAAUUCAAAUAAAACGAUUUCCCAGCUCUCCAAUGGAGGUUCAGGUUCAGUCCGUCAACUAUGUCCAGACCCAACUCGCUUUCAUGCAUUACUUUAUAGCCUUGUCACCUUUUCAAGGGUCUCAUCCGCGUGAUAUUUGCUAUCUGCUAUUCUCUGCAUUCAAUUGAGUUGUGCGGAAAACCUGAACGGCCAAAAAUACGCAUUCAUAUCGAAUAUACUUAUAUUUUUAACCAUAUUAAUAUAGAUAAUUAUAUUUUGGCCUAAUUUUAUUAAUUUUAAUUAAUACUUAACUUCAUAAAUAAAUGAACAAUUUAACGAAGAGAACCGCCAUCAAAGUAUACUAAUUUCUUAUUUAGAAAAAAAUUAAUUAUAUUUAUUUGGCUGGUUUCUUGGUCUCAAAAGUCCGACUUUCACAAUGUAUUGAGACGUUACCAGAUGGCGGAGUACUAUGCACACGUGCAGACAAAAGCUUUGAACAUUAUUCUUUUAGAUCCAAUUUGUUUCAUAAAAAUACAAUGUUUCGUUCAGAAGUUAUAAUUCAUUACAAUUAUAAUAUAAUUUAGUAUGAACAGUGUGAGGCCAUCACGGCGCAUUCGUUGGCGUCGGCAGAGAGAGCAUAAGAGAAAGAGGGACGACAAAUAACAGCAAGCAAGUCUUGUUGGACGGGGAGCUCGAAAAUACACACAUACACACAGACUACACGUAAAAUAACAUCCAUCCCUAAAACCAAGCCCAUUUUCACUUUUGCCACGCAGCGGCGCACACGUUCUCUCCGGAGUGGAAGAAAAAGUAUAACAAAAAUUAUAAAUUUAACUGUGCACAAACAAUAAUACAUAAUAAAAUAAAUAAAAGUAUUAUUAAUACAAAAGUAUACUAAAUAAAUAGUAACAAAUAAAUAAGUAACAAAUAAAACAAUAAAAUACAAGUUUUCUUCUUCUUCGUUGCUGAACGAGCUGCCGAAGCUGCUGCUUUCUUACGCCAGAUGGGGUGUAGUGCGCUGGCGACAUCUAUUGCUUGUUCUGCUCCGUGUGAACAUCUUCAUGUGCAGUUUUAGAGUCAUUGCAUCUCCUUAACUCUGUUAUUUAGCAGACGGACUACUGUUAAAAAUACAACUUUAACGAUUCACUCGAAUGUAUUCAAAUAUCUACAAAAAUGUGAAAAUGUCAAUUCGAUUAUUAUCCAUAAUUUUGUGUUAUUUUUACAGCUUCAGAAAUUGUGGCCUAGAGGCCACACUUGUUUAAGUGUGUAGUCACAGGACCUUGUAUGGUCUUUACAGUCUCUGAGAUUAAUAGUCACGGGUACCUAUAAGCAUUUCUUUCAUGAGUACUUACAGUUUCUUGAUACCAAAGUGGCCAUAUGGUUAAAUUUAAUUUCUAAUACUAUUAUAAUACCUACAAAUACACAGACAUUUUCCAUAAAAACGCUUCCAAAUAUAUUAACUUUGUUUAACAAACACACACAUGCAUUUUCCCACUGCCACGUUCAUCAUUUGACCACAUUGAUUGGCGACCAUCCAGCAACUUGCGAGGGGUCAACUGAGCAUAUUGCCAAUCAGAGACUUCGAUUCAAUUUCCUCGACUUGCCAGAGAGACGAUAAUGGGAAUGGAGCAUAAAAGCCAAGUGCGGGUGUUGCAACGCAAACGAUUCAUUCAAAAUCGGAGCAAUCAAGGCAUCACAUCAGGAUCAGGCCAAGACAACAAAAUUACUUUGAGCAUCGUUAGGACCACAACUCUGACUCCGACUUGCAGUCUCCUUCGUAUUGUCUGGGGGAAAUGCCCGAUCAGAAAGGGCAAGACUGCCCCCGUCACAGGGCUGAUGAAGGGGAAAAACAUGAAAAUCAUCUUUCGUGGCAGGCAGCAUCGAAACACCAAGACACCAAUCGCAAUCAGGUGAGGUGGAAGGUGGGAGGUGGAUGACGCGGCGUCCAGGCUGCAUAUGUGAGGCUGUCCGGUCCAGGCCCGGCCAAGUCUUUCACGUGCGGAGAGACAACCCAAAGAAGAAGACUCUCGACUGCUUUUUAUUUUGCUGCCGGCGCUGUCCACAAAUGCAAUACACGCAACGCUGCCAUGGCGGAGCAUCCAGUUCGACAUCAACUGGUUUUCUGCAUCCAGCCCCCUCCAACCCACCACGCAGCACUCACGAACCUUUUCAAUGUGAAAAUCAUAUAAAGAUUUUGAAACCAUUUUGAGUUGCAACUAUUUAGGACAGUAAAACAUUUAAUGCCAUUUAUCUUAUUAAUAUGAACACUAAGGAGAGUCAAAAUUGAGUAUCUACUGUAUUAAUAUUUGAGUUCGUAACACCUACUAUAAAUGUAUAUAUUAUUUGUUGGACAAUGGAAACUUUUCUCACACAAGGCACCUCCUUAAGCGCCUCGUCUAAGCUGUUGCAAGAGCAAUGCAAACACACAGUUUGCUCGCUCAGUUUUAGCUCCGUUCUGAUUCCGUCUCUGUCUCUGUAGCUGUCCUUAUUUUCCUGUCCGUCUGUUGAUGUUCCUGUCUCCGGCUCAUUGUUCGUCUCGGUUCAGUUUGGUUUGGUUCCGUAAAUUACACUUUUGAUUUUUAGUGGCCGUAAAAUAAUCGUAAAUGUCGUGGUUAUUGCGACCGAAAGUGCCCAUUUUGAGUGCUGCUGCUGCUGCUUUCUGUUGCUCCUCCGUAUCACCCCUCUAUAACUGAUAUUUCAGCCAACUCGGUGCAGUGUGCGGACAUGGGACGGCCACCAAGUUGGUUGGGAACGUGCUGCCACUGCACAAGCAGCACGAAUCCCUCCACUCCCCUGCCCACUCUAUCCCCGCGGGGGGCACGUUGCACUUGUUGUUUUUAAUAAGUUUGUGGCGGUUGUUGUUCCUGGCUUUCUUCUGCCUGGCUGAUGCUCCCUUGAUGUUUCGAUUAAGUUCGGAGUUCGCUUCGUCGAACUGGUUGGAUGGGUCUGAGUCUGAGUCUGAGUCUGGCCUGUCCCUGCCACAGCCACUGCUUCUUCCUCCCUCUCUGAGGGAGCAGUUUGGCUUAAGUUUAUGGCCAUUUCGUUCGUUUCACUGUCUUGCGGUUUCGAUGUUGCUUGUGGGGCUUGGCCGUUCCUCUGCCUGUGGAGCUGCCGUCGAGCUGAUUUUCUUGAGCAUUUCACCCAUUUACCUUUAUAUAUUUCGGCUUGUUCAAGACAUUUUCUCACAUCGCAGCUCACGGGGCUCCUCUGCCACACGGCUCUUCGUCUCUGACGCAACUGGUUGCCCAUUGGCCCGCCAGCUCUCUUCUCUACCACGCUCCAUGCACUCUACACUCAAAAAUUUCGAAUUUGAUUUUAUUGUUAUGAUUUCAAUUGUUUUCCCAAUGUAAACACUGGAGAGUGCCAGCACAGAGAGGGCCAACAUGUCGGGUUUUCGGUUAAAUAAUGCUCGAUUUUUAUGAUAGUUUCAAGUUCUACGCGAAUCGUUAGUCAGAGUCUACUUAGGUUGAACGAGGACGAGGCCCGCAAGCUCCUUUGAGGCAGAUUUUCAAACGCUCCAAAUCGACUUUAGCUGGGAGAAACUUUCAUCUUGCAAAUGAGCGAAGAAAGCACAAAUUUCUACCAUUUACCUACCAUGCAAAUUAUUAAAUUAUUCUCAUCUAAUGAUGCAUUUGUCCUACGACUGCCCAGAGGACGGCCUGAUUUAUAGAUUCUAAGUACUGCUUAUCCACCUUAUUAGCAUUCUCAGAUCAUUUCUAUACAAGUCACAUUAGAACGCCCAAUUUCACGAGAACAAUUAUGGGCUGGGCCGCCGGAGGUGAUCAUAAUACCAAUAUGCUCCGGCUAGGCCCUGGCAGGACCCGAAGGUCGAAAGAAAGAAUGAACGAGACGGGACGAUCGGCGUUGAGGGGUCCGGUGCGGACUGGAAACCAAAUCAAUUCAUAAAUCAUAAAAAUGUGUCAUAAAAAAUAUUUGUGUCGCCUUCAAUAAUAACAGCCAUAAAUGGAAAUGGCAGUGGAAACGGAAAAACAACAGCCACAGCCAGGCAGGAGUAUGAAGCUGCCUUUCAACAUGUCCUCGAGAAAGUAAAAAACGCUCAAGGCAAAAGGAGAAGGGAGAAGACUUGUUGGGUGACCUUAGGAGAUUUGUUUUGACUUCUAUCCGAGGCCUGUUAUCGCAUCUCGCCAGAGCCACAACGAUCCCAAAAGAGGACACACAGGACACGGCACAAAUACGUUGGUAUUGUCUGCCUUUGCCAGUUCGAUUAUUGCCGCCUCGGUAAUAAAUCAUAAAAAUAUGUUUAGUCGCAGAGAUGUGAGUAGGGAAUGCUGCCUCGUUACACGGUGGAAUUGGAAUUGUAAAUCCCCUGUAAAAUUGCUCUCGCCCUGCUCUGUAUGCUCAACUCUGCGGUGGUGGCAUCUCUCCAGCAUGGUAUCCCUCUGUAGGUACGACGAUCGCGCCCUCGAGCAUCUGAUAACAAAACCACCAGCAUGGCCAAUGCCCAUGGAAACAAAGGCCAGCAACUUUCUCUUUGGCAUCAUCUGAUUUGGGCCGCAUUCAUCCUCGAGCGUUGCCUUGCCAAAUAUGAGCAUUUUGAUUUAUUUUCGAAAUAUUCUCUCCUCUGAAGAUUUAUUGAUGUGCUGUUGUCAGUAAGAGGCGCCUGGAAUUGUGUUCCUGUGUUCUCCUGUAUCUGCAUUGAAAUUGCGAACUGGAAAGUAGGGGCUGAGCAUUAACACCAUAUUUGUAGCUUAAUAACUUGGCUGAUAAGGCCCCCAAUUAUACAUAAUAUCAUCCAUUAUAAUUUUAAUAAACUCUUGCCUUUGUUUCUUUCUAAUCCGCAGCACAUUAACACUUCCCAUUGGACAGAGAUGGCUUCAUUUUCAGGCCAUGCACGCCAUAUGCAACUUGAGUCGUCUUGCCACAGAUGUCAGUGCUGUACUUGCAGUUGCACCCGCUCAUUCUCAGGGCUGGCUCCACAUGAUUUACUACAAGCAGAUGAUUUAAUGUAACCGCACAUACAUACGUACACGAUACACGAACAUGGGGCAGGCCACUUCAGAUCCAGCCCAGCCCAGACACCCCACAUGUGUUGCAACCGAAGCGUUGCAGCAGUUGAAAGAAGAACCCCGAGACGGCAGUGACGGUGUCCUCCAUCUUGAAAACUGAUGCUUCGAUGAAGCGGCAGAGGAUUCCAUUUAGCAGCGAGAGGUUGAUGAAACAGCAAAUAAACAAAAUCUAAGUAGAAUCUUACAUGUACGCCAACCCUUUCCCGGAAGAGUGCGUUAAUCAGGGUGUCAACGAGCUGCGACCUUGCCGAGAGAGUCCAUUCAGAUGCUGGCCAAAAUACAACAUCAAAACAAAUCGUUAAAAUGCAAUAAAACUCUCAGAGAUGGAGGAGUCCGCAUCCAUAUGCAAUCACUAAACAAGAGCCAAGGCAAAUGCAUUCGAAUAAAAUUUUACCACCAUUUCCUCGAGCAUCAUCAGCAGCAGGAGCAUCAUCAAACUAACGGCGGCAACAUCCGAGGCACCUCAUAAAAGUAAUGACGUCUAUGGCCCAUCAGCAUCUGAUAGAAGCUGAUAGAUACAUUUGUAUCUGCGCACGGAGGCGAGCGGAGGGAUAUCACAAUAAUUAUGGCAUACGUCACGGAACUUGGGUUUUUAUAUCUUUUAUAUUGAUUGUCAUCGUGUCACACUAACAGAUCGUAAAAAAGUCGUAAAAUCCGAAGACUCUCGCUCUGACUCUGCUCCUGUCCGGGCCAAUGGAUGGGCGAGUGAGUGCAUUACCAGAGUGAGCGAUGAAGUCCUCAUCCCUUGGGCUCACAAAACACUCAGGAUCGGGCAGGACCUCAAGCCGACUCCAACUCACACAGGGACAAGCGGAUGAUGAUGAGCUGGAUCGUUACCGUUCUGAGCUCUCAGUUCUGAGUGAUUUUCAGUCUCUGCCGCUCGAGGGGAAGUGGCGUCAAGUCGUAAAAAGGCCAUAAAAUGCUUGGCCUCUGUGUUGGUACUAACCGCAAUUUGUUUAUAUUGUUGUUAAAAUGCCGUUCCAUCUUGUUCUGCUUAGCAUUUAAUUGUCGACUGCCAGCUUUUCUUUUUACGAGCCAAUAAAAUCUAUUUAAC